rnacentral:rRNA from 1 species
GACGAACGCUGGCGGCGUGCUUAACACAUGCAAGUCGAACGGAAAGGCCCUGCUUGCAGGGUACUCGAGUGGCGAACGGGUGAGUAACACGUGGGUGAUCUGCCCUGCACUUCGGGAUAAGCCUGGGAAACUGGGUCUAAUACCGGAUAGGACCAUCGUUUAGUGUCGGUGGUGGAAAGUUUUUCGGUGCAGGAUGAGCUCGCGGCCUAUCAGCUUGUUGGUGGGGUAAUGGCCUACCAAGGCGUCGACGGGUAGCCGGCCUGAGAGGGUGGACGGCCACAUUGGGACUGAGACACGGCCCAGACUCCUACGGGAGGCAGCAGUGGGGAAUAUUGCACAAUGGGCGCAAGCCUGAUGCAGCGACGCCGCGUGGGGGAUGAAGGCCUUCGGGUUGUAAACUCCUUUCAACCAUGACGAAGCAUUAUGUGACGGUAGUGGUAGAAGAAGCACCGGCUAACUACGUGCCAGCAGCCGCGGUAAU